AAACACAAAGUCUGUACAUUUUCCAGAAUCCCCUCCUAUCCAUUAUCCUCCAUUCAUUAAAGGGAGAAACAAUGUUCCUGUGGUUAAAUCUGGUGUCCUUUCUAUUAAUGCUCAGAGGUGUCCAAUCUGAGGUCCAGUUAGUGGAGUCUGGAGGGGAUGUGAGAGGACCUGGGGAGUCCCUCCGUCUCUCCUGCCAAGGUUCUGGAUUCACCUUCAGUGAUGCCUACAUGCACUGGGUGAGACAGGCUCCUGGAAAAGGACCAGAAUGGGUGGCCUACAUAAACAAAGCUUCCAGUACUAUUUACUACUCUGACAAAGUCAAGGGCCGCUUCACCAUCUCCAGGGACAAUGCCAAAAGCCAGAUGUAUCUGCAAAUGAACAGCCUCAAACCUGAAGACACAGCAAUUUAUUACUGUGCAAGAGACACAGUGAGAGGAAAUGAAUCUGAAGCUUGA